rnacentral:rRNA from 1 species
AUUGAACGCUGGCGGCAGGCCUAACACAUGCAAGUCGAGCGAGCGGCGGACGGGUGUGGAAUGUCUGGGAAACUGCCCGAUGGAGGGGGAUAACUACUGGAAACGGUAGCUAAUAUCGCAUACCAUCAGAUGUGCCCAGAUGGGAUUAGCUAGUAGGUGGGGUAACGGCUCACCUAGGCGACGAUCCCUAGCUGGUCUGAGAGGAUGACCAGCCACACUGGAACUGAGACACGGUCCAGACUCCUACGGGAGGCAGCAGGGGGGAAUAUUGCACAAUGGGCGCAAGCCUGAUGCAGCCAUGCCGCGUGUGUGAAGAAGGCCUUCGGGUUGUAAAGCACUUUCAGCGGGGAGGCGUUACCCGCAGAAGAAGCACCGGCUAACUCCGUGCCAGCAGCCGCGGUAAUAC